AACGGUCUAUACCUGCGGUACCUGCGGAAGGAUCAUUAACGCGCCGUGGAGGUUGCCUUUAAACAGGUCUGACCUUCCACCUGGCCACCCUUGUUUAUCUUUAACCUGUUGCUUUGGUGGGCCCGCUGCAAGGCCGCUGGAGAAUUUAAAAGUUUUCUGGCCCGUGCCCACCAAAGUCCUAGUGAACUCUUUGUUAAUUUUCUGCUGUCUGAGCAUUAAAAGAAACAAUUUUUAAAACUU
rnacentral:misc_RNA from 1 species